rnacentral:tRNA from 1 species
AAACCGGUAGUGUAGUGGUAACACAUUACGUCCGGAAGUGGACAGGGAGGGUUCGAUUCCCUCCCGGUGCA